rnacentral:sRNA from 1 species
UUCGGUUGACAUUGACGAAUUCUUAUGAUACACUAACAAAAGAGCUACAAGAUAGCUGGAAUUGUUUUUUUAGGAGGAUUUUGUUAUGCACGGUAAAGUAAAAUGGUUUAGCGCAGAAAAAGGUUAUGGCUUUAUUGAAAGAGAAGAUGGCGGCGAUGUAUUUGUACAUUUUUCAGCUAUCCAGGAAGACGGCUUCAAAUCCCUGGCAGAAGGUCAGGAAGUUGAAUUCGACAUCGUCGAUGGUGCUCGUGGACCGCAGGCAGCUAACGUAACUAAAGCUUAAUUUUAGUUAUAGUUUAUAAUGGACCUUUUACCGGUAACCUAAUGGUUACCGGUUUUUU